UUAUGGAAUUGAAGAUUACCCGUGGGCAGCUGACUCGAUAACCGCAUCUGAUCCUGCGCAAGUACUUGGAUUCUUUUCUUUUUCCAAACUCAACUGAACUUGCUGCUGACGAUCUUUAUUCUGAUGCUUCUUAUCAGUAUUCCUCACCUGCUGAUCCAGAUCUUUCAACAAAGAACUCCGUUUGCACAAGUAAAGUUUGAGGCUACCCAC
rnacentral:lncRNA from 1 species